CGCGCAGGCGGUCCUUCAAGUCAGAGGUGAAAGCCCAGAGCUCAACUCUGGAAUGGCCUUUGAGACUAGAGGACUUGGGUACGGGAGAGGUGAGUGGAAUUCCGAGUGUAGAGGUGAAAUUCGUAGAUAUUCGGAAGAACACCAGUGGCGAAGGCGGCUCACUGGCCCGUUACCGACGCUCAGGCGCGACAGCGUGGGGAGCAAACAGGAUUAGAUACCCUGGUAGUCCACGCCGUAAACGAUGGAUGCUAGCCGUUGGCAAGCAUGCUUGUCAGUGGCGCAGCUAACGCAUUAAGCAUCCCGCCUGGGGAGUACGGCCGCAAGGUUGAA
rnacentral:rRNA from 1 species